rnacentral:rRNA from 1 species
GACGAACGCUGGCGGCGUGCUUAACACAUGCAAGUCGAACGAUGAAGCCUAGCUUGCUAGGUGGAUUAGUGGCGAACGGGUGAGUAAUACGUGAGUGACCUACCUUUGACUCUGGGAUAAGCCUGGGAAACUGGGUCUAAUACCGGAUACGACCAAUCUCCGCAUGGGGUGUUGGUGGAAAGCGUUAUGGAGUGGUUUUAGAUGGGCUCACGGCCUAUCAGCUUGUUGGUGAGGUAAUGGCUUACCAAGGCGACGACGGGUAGCCGGCCUGAGAGGGUGACCGGCCACACUGGGACUGAGACACGGCCCAGACUCCUACGGGAGGCAGCAGUGGGGAAUAUUGCACAAUGGGCGCAAGCCUGAUGCAGCAACGCCGCGUGAGGGAUGACGGCCUUCGGGUUGUAAACCUCUGUUAGCAGCGAAGAAGCGAAAGUGACGGUAGGUGCAGAGAAAGCGCCGGCUAACUACGUG